UGCCUAUCCUAGCUCCACCAAUCACAAUCAAGAACCCACUGCCACACUAAACUAAAACAUUAUCCCCCAAACCUAGUAUAGGAGAUAGAAAAGUACCCAGCGACGCUAUAGAAACAGUACCGCAAGGGAAAGAUGAAAUAGCAAUGACAAACCAAGCAUUGCACAGCAAAGAUAAACCCUUGUACCUUUUGCAUCAUGAUUUAGCAAGAACAACCAGACACAGUGAGCUUAAGUCUGCCCCCCCGAAACCCAAGCGAGCUACUUACAAGCAGCUACCCCUGAGCUAACCCGUCUCUGUUGCAAAAGAGUGGGAUGACUUGUUAGUAGCGGUGAAAAGCCAACCGAGCUGGGUGAUAGCUGGUUGCCUGCGAAACGAAUUUAAGUUCCCCCUUAGCCACGCCCCUCCGACAACCCACCAAACAUCCACGUAGCAGGCUAAGAGCUAUUUUAAGGGGGUACAGCCCCUUUAAAAAAGGAUACAACCUUCACUAGAGGAUAACUCCACUCCACUCCAAACCAGUGGGCCCUAAAGCAGCCACCCGCAAAGAGUGCGUCAAAGCUCAUUAGACAAAAAUCCAAAGACUAUACGACUCCCUACACCCCCAGCAGGCCAACCUAUAACAAUAGAUGAAUCAAUGCUAAAACGAGUAACCCAGGCACUACGCCUCCUUAAGCGCUAACCUAAAUACUAUUAACAGUACAACCACAAUAUCAAGCCCACCCCGACCAAACAUUGAACACACCCUGUUAACCCAACUCAGGAGCGCACACCUAGGACGAUUAAAAUCUGCAAAAGGAACUCGGCAAACCCAGGACCCGACUGUUUACCAAAAACAUAGCCUUCAGCCAAACAAGUAUUGAAGGUGAUGCCUGCCCAGUGACCCCACGUUCAACGGCCGCGGUAUCCUAACCGUGCAAAGGUAGCGCAAUCAAUUGUCCCAUAAAUAGAGACUUGUAUGAAUGGCUAAACGAGGCCCCAACUGUCUCCUGCAGACAAUCAGUGAAACUGAUCCCCCUGUACAAAAGCAGGGAUAACCACAUAAGACAAGAAGACCCUGUGGAACUUCAAAAUCAGUAGCCACUAGCAAACCGCCCCUAAACCUACCAGGCUUACCGCCCAAAACAGCUGGCUAACAUUUUUAGGUUGGGGCGACCUUGGAGAAAAACAAACCCUCCAAAAAUAAGGCCAAGCCCCUUAACUAAGAGCAACCCCUCAACGUGCCAACAGUACCCAGACCCAAUAAAAUUGACCAAUGAACCAAGCUACCCCAGGGAUAACAGCGCAAUCUCCCUCAAGAGCCCCUAUCGACAGGGAGGUUUACGACCUCGAUGUUGGAUCAGGACAUCCUAGUGGUGCAGCCGCUACUAAGGGUUCGUUUGUUCAACGAUUAAAAGUCCUACGUGAUCUGAGUUCAGACCGGAGCAAUCCAGGUCGGUUUCUAUCUAUGACUAGCCCCUCCUAGUACGAAAGGACCGGAAGAGCAGGGCCAAUACCCCAAGCAUGCCCUCCCCUAAAGCGGUGCCCCCAACUCAACCGCCUAAGGACCCCCCCCCACCACCCCAGACAAAGGUU
rnacentral:rRNA from 1 species